rnacentral:rRNA from 1 species
CCCUUAGAUGUUCUGGGCCGCACGCGCGCUACACUGAUGCAUUCAACGAGUCUAAAACCUGCUCUGAUAGGGGUGGGUAAUCUUUUGAAUGUGCAUCGUGAUUGGGAUAGAUGAUUGCAAUUUUUCAUCUUCAACGCGGAAUGCCUAGUAAACGCAAGUCAUCAGCUUGCAUUGAUUACGUCCCUGCCCUUUGUACACACCGCCCGUCGCUCCUACCGAUUGAAUGAUCCGAUGAAUAUCAUGGAUUGAGGAUGCAAGUAGGUUCGCCUAUCUUCAUCUUCGAGAAGUGAAGUAAAUCUUAUCAUUUAGAGGAAGGAGAAGUCGUAACA